rnacentral:rRNA from 1 species
UACGUAGGGCGCAAGCGUUGUCCGGAAUUAUUGGGCGUAAAGAGCUCGUAGGCGGCUUGUCACGUCGGGUGUGAAAGCCCGGGGCUUAACCCCGGGUCUGCAUUCGAUACGGGCUAGCUAGAGUGUGGUAGGGGAGAUCGGAAUUCCUGGUGUAGCGGUGAAAUGCGUAGAUAUCGGGAGGAACACCAGUGGCGAAGGCGACUACCUGGCCUGUUUCUUGACGCUGAGGCGCGAAAGCUAGGGGAGCAAACGGG